GACGAACGCUGGCGGCGUGCUUAACACAUGCAAGUCGAACGGAAAGGCCCUGCUUUUGUGGGGUGCUCGAGUGGCGAACGGGUGAGUAACACGUGAGUAACCUGCCCUUGACUUUGGGAUAACUUCAGGAAACUGGGGCUAAUACCGGAUAGGAGCUCCUGCUGCAUGGUGGGGGUUGGAAAGUUUCGGCGGUUGGGGAUGGACUCGCGGGUUAUCAGCUUGUUGGUGGGGUAGUGGCUUACCAAGGCUUUGACGGGUAGCCGGCCUGGGAGGGUGAGCGGCCACAUUGGGACUGGGAUACGGCCCAGACUCCUACGGGAGGCAGCAGUGGGGAGUAUUGCACAAUGGGCGGAAGCCUGAUGCAGCAACGCCGCGUGCGGGAUGACGGCCUUCGGGUUGGAAACCGCUUUCGCCUGUGACGAAGCGUGAGUGACGGUAAUGGGUAAAGAAGCACCGGCUAACUACGUG
rnacentral:rRNA from 1 species